AAUUUAAUAGAGCGGAUGCUUAAACGUGUACAAUGUUGGAAUUUUUUCCUCUAAUUUAACUGGCUGAUUAAAUAGGUUGUUGGUAGAAUUAUUGUAAGCAUCGUCGUCGAAUCUUGAAUGUGAUAUGAAUUAGUAAUGCUCUGAAGAUUUUGUUACAAAUGGAAACCGAUUUUAUGACGUCGAAUUAUUAUACUGUAUUUUUUUCCUCCAUUGUUAAACAAGACGCGAAGACGGUUUCUGUUUUUGAAAAUACGCGUAACAGAGAGUAUGCUAUAAGAAGUAGUCGGAGCUAUGGACAGAAAAACAGUUCGACGUUUCUUGUAAAUUUUUCACAAAAGGGCUGGAGAACUGAACUCAAUACUUAUAGGCGGUGUCAGAUUGGAACUUGCAUUCCAUAGGUAUUUCGCUAGGGGCUUGGAACAUAAUGCAGAUUUGCUUAAAAAAUUUGUACCAUCCUCGCAUCGAAUUUUGAGAAAAAAACACCCUUUCCUCCCUAAUGUAUGCAGAACAUUUUAAUCUAAUGUGUAUUGAACUCACUCGAAAGAUAAUUACAAGGAUGUAACAUGCACUAUAAUUGUAAAAUUGUCAAAUAAGGUGAUACCUACC